GAACAUUACGCAGUCAGCACAUAGUGCGCAGCAGAAGGAGAAGAGCAGGAAACUUUCCAGAAAAAUAUGAAAACGUGUCUAAAUACUAUUUUUGUUGUCUGAAGAAAGUGCAAAGAAGGUAUUUUUGAUUUUCCACCGUGUUCCUGUUUUGGAGAUGUUUUAUUUUCUGGAACGGGACUUGGCCAAUUAGAUUGGGUUGAAGAACUAUCGCGAUAGAUCGACCUAAGAGAACAUGUGCAGGAGCACAUGUGCUUGAGAUAAAGAUGGCGAGCCACCCACGGAACCUAUGAACUGCGCAUGCGCCAGGACCAGUUCAGGAGCAACAAGCCCUCUGCUGACCGGUGCAUGGUACUACAACUGAAUGUUUUAGGUUGCUUGAACCUGACAUUAAUUUGGUCCUUCGAGCCAGAUACCAAAACACCUGAGGAUUCCAGCUGAGGAAACGACAACCAGAAAGACCGUGGCCACGGCAAACAGACCCUUUCCGGGACUGGCUCUCGUCUCACUGGCUGGAGUCUGAUGGUUGACGGUAUACCUCGGAGAGGGAAGACAACUUGGUGAGUAAUAUUUCCUUAGGGGGGAUUAAAAGAGAAUGAGUGAAACGUGUUUAAGAAAAGACAAGCAGAGUCAAUAAAACAGCUUUUACCCACAGGCCAUCAGGCUCCUCAACGAAGCACUCGCACACGCCGCACGCACACACUCAUAGCACUUUAUUUAUUUAUUUAUUUAUUUAUUUAUUUAUUUAUUUAUUUAUUUAUUUAUUUAUAUUGUUUACUUGUAUUAAUGUCUCUUCUGUAGUUGUUGCUUAAUUUAUUGGUAUAUAUGUUUAUGUGUUUAUGUUUCUUAUGUUCUUAUUCUUUCAUUUGUUUUAUUUCUUUUCUUGGGAUAAUGAACAGAAUAAGAUUUUCAUUGCAUGGUAUAACUGCUGUUUUACUAUGCACAUGACAAUAAAACUCUCUUGAAUCUUGUAUCUUGUAAAAGCCCGCUAGGCCUGCUUAGAGUGAAACCUUGUGAAUACUAGUCAAUGGCAAGUAAUUGAAGGACACCGAAUUCCGAUAAAUUCCGUGGUAAAGAUGGACACCGGAUUCCCAUAAAUUUUGUGGUAAAGAGGGAUGCUGGAUUCCGGCAAAUUCCGUGGUAAUAACAGGAUGGCGGAGUCCUAUGCGCAUUUAAAUUCCGUGUUGUGUGCUUGUGAGUGUGAGUGGAGACUAAGUUUCACUAGAAACUUAUCUCAUACCAAAGCGGUGAGAUUGGAAGUGGUGACUUGUUGUGGAAGCAGAGACAAGAAUUCUCCGCCCCCACCUGGGUAGAAGCUUGAGAAUUACCACAAUAAGAUCAUUUUUCACCACCUCACUGACAGAAAGAAAAACCCAGUUAUUAGAAUUCCCUAGGAAUUAACAUCAUAACUGGGACCAAAUUGAAUUAAAAUGGGAAAUGGAAAAAGUAAAACAAACUAUAAAGAUAACUUACAGAGUAAAGACUGGCGAUUCGUUGAAAAACAAGAUUCAACAAAGUUAAAAUACCUGGAUAAAUGGGUGUCUAAAUACGGGUAUGAUGGCCAAUAAAAUUCCCCAAAAAUAGUGUCGUUACAGGACUAGAUACUUUAGUGGAUGAAAAAUAAUGAUAAAAAGAAAAUAAUUAUAAAAAGAUGAAAAAAGAAGGAUAUGAAGAGACAGUUUUGGCUUAAUACAGCUCAAAAAAGAGAAGAAGGAGAAAAAGAAAAUAAAAACAAAAAAGAAACGUGUGUGUAAAAAGAAAAGAAAAAAGGAACAGCAAAGGUGGAAACAGAAGGUUGAGAAGUUAAAAAUAAGAGAGAAGGGACUGAGGAAGUGAAAGUUAAAGAUAGAGAAGAGGAUAAUAAGAUAGUAAAUGUUCAAAGGACUGAGUAAAGUAGGGAAGAAAGACAGCAAGGCAGACCCUCACUGGAUCCUCUCUUGCUGGUGUCUCCACCACGAUAUGAGGAGCAGUGUAGUGAUAUUACACAGCAGAGAACUGGAACACCGAGUGCAAGGCCUGAUCAACCGAACCACUCGACGUUUCCUAAAAAGAGCAGAUGACACCGCCAUGGGUAGAACUAAACAACAACUAGAUGAAACAUUUGAUGAUUACGGAGCCACAAUGAUAACGGUAUUUAAAACAAAGUGGCUAACGGGAUAAUGAUGACCCACAGGGUCGUUAUAACAACAGCUAAAAACUGCGUUACACGCUAAUUCAAAAGACGCUAUAAGAAAUUGGUUCUUCAAAUAUUGCAUACAUUUUGCAACAGGCAUGCUAGAAGAAUAUGUUAAACAUGGGGAAAGAAAAUGACAAAGGAAAAAUCUUAGGCUUAAAAAAUGAAGAUACCUUCAUAAAUGAAGAAGGUCAAAUAUACUUUCAAAGUAACGCACUAAACAGGAGGAUUUGGAAGAGGACAAUUUAGACAAAAUGCGUCAGGCUGUUGGUGUUGUGGAAAAGAAGGGCAUAUUGGACGCAAUUGUUAAAAAAUAAAUAAAUAAAUAAAAUUAAAAGUAAAUAAACACCAAGAAAUCAUACACUGUGUGACUAGGCCAGCCUGCUCCCACAGCAGAAGAAAGGGACACUUCUGAGUCAAUAAACAAAAACUUAGUGGAGCUCAAUUUACAAGAGCUGUAAAUCCUGCUGUGGUAGUACUUGUAGUACCACAAACAGUAUGGAAAGGCAUGUCAGUUGCCCAUUUUAUUGGUACCAAAAUGUCCUGUCAAUCUGCUGUGGAGAGAUGGCUUGUCAGCCCUGGGACUGGCUUUAGUUCCAACUAGUGAUGGAAACAUCAUUGUUAAAAGGCAACAUGUAAUAAAAGACUCAUUUGUAGUAAAAGCGGAAGAAUUCCCUUCCUACUAUUAUUCAUUGGACAUACCAAACAAACCACCUCAGAGUGUGGGAACCAAUCGUCUACGGGAAGGACAAGCGUUACUGCAAAAUAUUGAGGACACAAUGACUAGCAACAACUUACAUAUAACUCUGUACUACCGAGGUACUUUAGGGCCAAAUCCAGAAUAUGAAAAACAAUUGGCGCGAGCAACACCAGGAGUUGUACUCAUUGAUUACAUCUAUUCAGAUGGAUCAACUACUGCGAUAGCAGGAGUUCAAUUAAAAGACCUACAAACGCUGUAUCGACAGUGGGGAACACCACAUGUGUCACUCUACAAGGCAAAAGGUGAAAAAUGGAAAGAUUUAACAGAAAUAGUACAAUUGGGACAACAAACGACUGACUGGGUGCAAACACCUGAAGGAGUCGACAAAAGUGAUAUUACAGGUUUACUAAGGAAAGACAUAUUUUGGACUGUACAAGUACAAGGAGGACGACACCUUCAGAGUCCUGUAGAGUGACAGUAUGUGUUGACAGACGAGGAAGAAGAACAGCUCAAAACCAUACCUGAAACAUUGUGGUCACAGGGUCCAUCUGAUGUAGGUCAAAUUAAAGGAGCAUUACCAGUACACAUUAGAGUAAAAACAGAAUAUAGACCUUGUAUACGGCAAUAUGCUCUAAAGCCAGAUGCAUAUGAAGGUAUAAAGCCUGUAAUUGAUGAUUUAAUAAAAGCAAAAGGUAUAAUAGAAUGUCCAGAUUCACCAUGUAAUACUCCUAUUUUUCCAGUCAAGAAGGCUCUGCCUUCUGUUGGCUGGAGAAUGGUGCAAGACUUACAGGCGGUAAACAAUGCAGUGAUUCAAAGAGCACCAUGUGUACCUGAUGUACAUAUGCUUUUAAAUUCGUUAAGGCCUGAUGCCACUUAUUUUACAGUAGUGGAUAUAAGCAAUGCUUUCUCUUCAGUACCAGUAGAUAAAGAAAGCCAAUUCUGGUUUGCUUUUACCUUUGGAGGAAAACGUUACACCUAUACAAGGUUACCCCAAGGGUAUUGUGAAAGCCCCACUAUUUAUUCACAAGCCAUGACUGCUAGCAUGGCCAAGUUCAGUCCACUCAGGCAGCUGAAUUAGUUGCAUUAACGGAAUCCUGUAAAUUAAUGAAAGAUAAAACAGUAACUAUAUGCACCGAUAGCCAAUAUGCAUAUGCUACUGUGCACACAUUUGCCCAAUAUUGGAGAAGCAGGGGCACGGUAACAUUGACAGGCAAGCCAGAUACAGAUGCGCACCUGUUACAGGAGUUAUUAGAUGCUGUUUAAUUACCAUUAAAACUUGCAAUUUGUAAAUGUGCUGGACACACCAACGGGCACUAAUAAAACCACAAAAGGAAAUGCAUUUGCAGAUAACAUGACUAAAGUUACUGCUGGAAAUUAAAUGACCGUAUUGACAGCACCGCAACACCACCUAGAAAAUGAGGUUCUCAAAGGCAUGCAAUAACAAAUUCGUAGUCUGAAAUUAAAAUUUGGAAAAGAAAAGGGGCUACACUUAAAAAUGCCAUCUAUGUUGACCAAAAUUUGAAGCCUAUUUUUCCAAAAAUGUAUAUAAAUGGGAGGCUAUUUUGAGCCAUGGUGUGUCACAUGUCUCAACAGGAGGGAUGGUUAGUCAGAUACAUCAAUAUUUUACCACCUAUGGCUUUAAUUCAUAUUCAAAAAAUGUUUGUAGAGCCUGUCUAACAUGCGCAAAUCACAAUCUGAAAGGCAAUUUACGCCCGCGACGUGGUCAGUUUCCAACACCGCAAUAUCCUUUCCAGGUAAUACAUAUGGACUUCAUAGAGCUAAGCAAAAGCGAAGGAAAGAAAUUUUGUUUGGUCAUCAUAGAUGCAUUUUCUAAAUGGAUAGAACUCUUUCCAACAAAGCAUCCUGAUGCCUUGACGGUGGUAAAAGCACUACGUAAAGAUAUUAUACCACGAUAUGGUAUACCUGACACGAUUUAUAGUGACAAUGGCUCUCAUUUUGUAAACCGGAUAAUACAAAAAAUAGGAACAAUGUUCCAUAUUAACUUAAAAAAUCAUUGUGCUUACCACCCUCAAAGCGCAGGACUAGUGGAACGAAUGAAUGGAACAAUAAAAAAUAGACUCAAAAAGUGUAUGGAGGAAACAGGGAGACCUUGGACACAAAGUCUUGAUCUCGUUAAAUUAUAUAUUAAUAUAACUGCUUCAAAUGGAUUAACACCAUUUGAAAUUUUAUUUGGAAGACCAUAUAGAUUACCAUACUUCAAAAGUCAAUGGGAAGCUGAUGAUGACGCUAAUCUCGCUGACUAUACACUUGUUGGAAAGGCAAAAUAAUAUAUGUCAACCUGCAGAGGAUUCUACUGUCUCCCAGCAGGAAAUUCAGUUAGUUCAACCAGGAGAUUGGGUCCUCAUCAAAAGCAUCAAAAAGAAGCACUGGCAUUUACCCAAGUGGGAAGGUCCAAACUAAGUAUCAUUGACAACACAAACAGCCCUAAAAGUAACUGAAAGAUCAACAUGGAUUAAUUUGAAACAUUGUAAAAAGGUCCUUUCAGCAGAGAAACCCCGACGGGAAAGGUGAGCAAACGUCUGACAAUAAGGUGGGUGCAGACAUUUAGAGUCUGAAAAUACCUGACGGUCAGUGAAGAAAGUACAAGACACCAAUCCUAGUAGAGGCGGAACUCCUAAGGUUCUCUGUGAAAUGACGGUAAUAAGAGCAAAGUAUUUUGUAAGUGAUAGAUAACUAUUAUGUUCAUAAUGGACAUAGGGCUGCUUGUAUGGGAUCAGACUAAUAACCUCAAAAAUGCAGACACAGUUGCCACUAAUGUAACCCUACUAACAGAUAGGCCAAAGUGAAGCACAUCAAAGACAGUACAUGCACCAUGGAUUGUUAGUUGGGCGUAUAGAAAUUCUAUCCAUAUGACUAUUGGUCCGAACACAAGCACAGUGGUUAGGAGACAAGGAUCCUAUAUACAUUGAUGCCAUUGAUGUUCUCCGUGGGGUGCCUGAUGAAUAGAAAUUAGUAAAUUAGAUUGCGGCUGGAUGGGAAUCCAUAUUUCCAUGGAUUACCGUCAAUAAAAACGUAGACAGGAUUAACUACAUCCACUACAAUGUUCACAAAUUGGGAAAUUGGACACAAGUUGGAUUUGAAGCGGUCAAAGAACAACUUAAAGCCACGUCCCUGAUGGCUUACCAAAAUGGGAUUGCGGUGGACAUGUUGUUAACAAAGGAAGGAGGUGUGUGUGCAAUGUUUGGAGAACAAUGCUGUACCUUCAUUCCCAACAACACUGCUGCUGAUGGCAGCCUGACUCAGGCCAUUGAAGGCCUCCGCACCCUGAAUGGUAAGAUGAAGGAACACUCUGGAGUGGAAACCUCAUGGUGGGACAGUUGGCUUGAUAUGUUUGGCAAGUGCAAAUCCUUGGUGUCAUCUCUAUUGAUGUCAAGUGCUGUUUUUGCAGCAAUCGUAACCUUGUGUGGAUGUUGUGUUAUUCCCUGUGUGGGGGGUCUAUUUAACAAAAUGAUAAAUGCAGCUAUUUCACCCAUGGAAACUAAAAUGGCACAAAUGUAUUUGUUGUUGGAUCUGGAAGGGAACGAGAGAGAGAUGGAGACAGCUAUAGACAUGGAGGAUGAUCUCCAUUUGCCUGAUCUGUUUCCAGACCAGGUGACUAUGAGUAAAAGUCACAUUUGACUCUUGGUGUAAAUGUGUUUGUGUUCAUAUAAAAAACAAAUAAUAAUAAUAAUAAUUCUUGACUGAAAAUCCGAAAGGAAGUGGUUAUAGAAUGAUAUGAGAAUUUGAGCAAAUACAUGAUAAACAGGAGGGAAAUGUUGGAGAAAUGUAUAUAAAUGUUAUCAUAUAUUUGUCUUAAAGAAUGUAUCUUCCUUUGUUUGAACCACUAUAACCUCUGUAUGUGUGUGUGUCUGAGCAGUACAGUUUUAUGGGGCUACGAAGAAGAAGAUGAAGGAACUCCUCUUGACCGCAUGAGCGCUCAGCUGAUUUUGUUCCUCCCUUAGUCAUGAUUACUUGUUAUCUUUUCUAUGCACUCAUCCACAGAGACUCUUUGUAGAUCAAGAAGAACAAACAGGAACUGCUAAACAACAGAUGCUUGGAAUGUUCUGGUGUAACUGCUGCAUGUUUACAGAUUCACACUCUUGAUUGUUUGUUUAUGUGAACACACACACACCCCCACACACCCCCACAUACACAGUUAGAUACAGAUUGUAUUGUCACGUUGCAGCUGUUGUGCUCCCCCUCCCCUUAGAGCUGCAACGUGCUCUGUGUAACUAGGGAAUCCCCAACAGAAUAAAAGGGAGGAGAACGCAGAGUUUACUCAGAACGGAUCGAGGUUGUAAACUGAGUACAUUUCUGUCUGUUCUCCUCGCGAGUAAAAGCAAUCUUGUUGUCUUCUUUCUUCUUUCUUAUUGUGUUUAGAAUGUUUUAGGUUGCUUGAACCUGUAGGCCCCCAGAAAGGCUGGAUGGUUGCCUGGAGGGUGUGUUCCAAGCAACACUUGUCAGCCUUCCUGGUAACUUAUUGGCUCAACGUGAACAUGAAAAUGUCCAACAUUACAGGAUUUUAAAAGCAUGGCUUUUCAUCAACUUUUAUUUGAAACUUCUUCAAAGAUCCUGAGGGUCAUGGAACAAAAAAGUGGAGACCUCCUGCAGCGACGUACGACAGUUGUGCAAGAAGAUACGCCGCCGCAUGCCGGGCCUAGUCUGAGUCCUGACCUGAAUCCUUUUCAAAUGCGGUGGCAUGGCCUUAAAAAGGCGCUUCACGCUGGAAAACCUUCAAACUCUUCAGAUACUUCUUCAUCCAAUAGUUUUCCUCAUGGAGCAGUGAGGCACACACAUGGGAUGAUGAAGAGCAUCCCGCUUUUUUUACGCAAUACUUCCUAAUAGGCUUCUCUCUUGGAGACAAAGUGUCUGUAAGUCAUGUGCAACAAGAAUGAUAUGAUCCCUGUGUGGAUUGGGAACUUGUGUCCUACUUAGACAACACUGUUGUUUCAUUGGAACAUUAAUUACUGGAUGUCUAGCUUGGCCGUUGUCAACCAUCUGUAGUUGGAAAAAAGCAAUUUUGAAAUGUGAACAAUGUGAACAAUAAUAAUAGAAACCAAAUAUAGUGCUGACCAACUUAGUGUUGCACUUCCUGUGUUGCACGAUGCAUGUAAAACACCUGCUCAGGCCCAAUCAUCUCCAAGAACAUGUCAUGUUUCCAGCAGCUCUCCAAAAAUGUCCAAACUUUGAUCUGCAGCCUUUCUGAUGGUCCCAACUCUCCAGCACUCUGGAAUACUGUAGACUUUCCUGGACUGUAGAUGUCAUCCCUCCGCCUCGUCAGCCGGCUACAUAUAGAGCCACCACAGUCCUGAUUGGCAAGGGAGAACCCGCCCAUUGUGUUCUGUGUUCUGAUUGGCGUAUGUGUCCCACGGAUGUGUUUCACAAAUGAUCCAAUCCCAGGAACGUUUCAGUCUGGACGGGGCGUCAUUUUCAACUGUGAUGAAUUUUAUUCAUGAAUGGUUUGACAGCCGUAGUUUUCAGAGAAUUGAACAUGACGGUGUUCCAACUGUAUCCUUGAAUAUGAAGGUGUUCCAACUGUAUCCUUGAAUAUGAAGGUGUUCCAGCUGUAUCCUUGAACAUGAAGGUGUUCCAGCUGUAUCCUUGAAUAUGAAGGUGUUCCAACUGUAUCCUUGAACAUGACGGUGUUCCAGCUGUAUCCU